GAUGAACGCUGGCGGCGUGCCUAAUACAUGCAAGUCGAGCGAACAGACGAGGAGCUUGCUCCUCUGACGUUAGCGGCGGACGGGUGAGUAACACGUGGAUAACCUACCUAUAAGACUGGGAUAACUUCGGGAAACCGGAGCUAAUACCGGAUAAUAUAUUGAACCGCAUGGUUCAAUAGUGAAAGACGGUUUUGCUGUCACUUAUAGAUGGAUCCGCGCCGCAUUAGCUAGUUGGUAAGGUAACGGCUUACCAAGGCAACGAUGCGUAGCCGACCUGAGAGGGUGAGCGGCCACACUGGAAGUGAGACACGGUCCAGACUCCUACGGGAGGCAGCAGUAGGGAAUCUUCCGCAAUGGGCGAAAGCCUGACGGAGAAACGCCGCGUGAGUGAUGAAGGUCUUCGGAUCGUAAAACUCUGUUAUUAGGGAAGAACAAAUGUGUAAGUAACUAUGCACGUCUUGACGGUACCUAAUCAGAAAGCCACGGCUAACUACGUG
rnacentral:rRNA from 1 species